GUGUCAGCCGCCGCGGUAAUACGGAGGGUGCAAGCGUUAUCCGGAUUCACUGGGUUUAAAGGGUGCGUAGGCGGUCAGAUAAGUCAGUGGUGAAAGCCCGCGGCUCAACCGUGGAAUUGCCAUUGAAACUGCCUGACUUGAAUACAGUUGAAGUGGAUGGAAUACAUCAUGUAGCGGUGAAAUGCUUAGAUAUGAUGUAGAACACCAAUUGCGAAGGCAGUUCACUAAGCUGUCAUUGACGCUGAGGCACGAAAGCGUGGGGAGCGAACAGGAUUAGAUACCCUCGUAGUCC
rnacentral:rRNA from 1 species